rnacentral:rRNA from 1 species
AGAGUUUGAUCAUGGCUCAGGACGAACGCUGGCGGUGUGCCUCAUACAUGCAAGUCGAACGAUAAGGUUCCUUCGGGAAUACAUAAGUGGCGGACGGGUGAGUACAACAUAGGAAAUCUGCCUUUAGGUGGGGGAUAACAGAGGGAAACUUCUGCUAAUACCCCGUAUGAGCUGGCUUGAAAUAGCCAUCUUGAAAGUUCUGGCGCCUAAAGAUGAGCCUGUGCCUGAUUAGCUAGUUGGUGGUGUAAUGGACUACCAAGGCGACGAUCAGUAGCUGGUUUGAGAGGAUGAUCAGCCACAAUGGGACUGAGACACGGCCCAUACUCCUACGGGAGGCAGCAGUAGGGAAUUUUGCGCAAUGGGCGAAAGCCUGACGCAGCAACACCGCGUGAAUGUUAAGCCCUUCGGGGUGUAAAGUUCUGUCAGUAGGGAAGAACAAAUGACUGUACCUACAAAGGAAGCACCGGCUAACUCCGUGCCAGCAGCCGCGGUAAUACGGGGGGUGCAAGCGUUGUCCGGAAUCAUUGGGCGUAAAGCGUUCGUAGGCGGUAAAGUAAGUCAGAUGUUAAAGCCCGGGGCUCA